rnacentral:rRNA from 1 species
ACAUAUCAAUAAGCGGAGGAAAAGAAACCAACAGGGAUUGCCCCAGUAACGGCGAGUGAAGCGGCAACAGCUCAAAUUUGAAAUCUGGUCCCCCCGCGGGGCCCGAGUUGUAAUUUGAAGAGGAUGCUUCUGGCAAGGUGCCGUCCGAGUUCCCUGGAACGGGACGCCGCAGAGGGUGAGAGCCCCGUACGGUCGGACGCCGAGCCUCUGUGAAGCUCCUUCGACGAGUCGAGUAGUUUGGGAAUGCUGCUCAAAAUGGGAGGUAAACCCCUUCUAAAGCUAAAUACCGGCCAGAGACCGAUAGCGCACAAGUAGAGUGAUCGAAAGAUGAAAAGCACUUUGAAAAGAGAGUUAAAAAGCACGUGAAAUUGUUGAAAGGGAAGCGCUUGCGACCAGACUCGCGCCCGUCGGAUCAGCCGUCGCUCGUCGGCGGCGCACUCCGGCGGGCUCGGGCCAGCAUCAGUUCGCCUCGGGGGGAGAAAGGCGGCAGGAAUGUGGCUCUACGGAGUGUUAUAGCCUGCCGUACAAUACCCCCGGGCGGACUGAGGACCGCGCGUAUGCAAGGAUGCUGGCGUAAUGGUCGUCAGCGACCCGUCUUGAAACACGGACCAAGGAGUCGUCCUAAUAUGCGAGUGUACGGGUGUCAAACCCCUGCGCGUAAUGAAAGUGAACGGAGGUGAGAGCUUCGGCGCAUCAUCGACCGAUCCUGAUGUUCUCGGAUGGAUUUGAGUAAGAGCAUAUUGGGCCGGACCCGAAAGAAGGUGAACUAUGCCUGUGUAGGGUAAAGCCAGAGGAAACUCUGGUGGAGGCUCGCAGCGGUUCUGACGUGCAAAUCGAUCGUCAAACAUGGGCAUGGGGGGCGAAAGACUAAUCGAACCUUCUAGUAGCUGGUUUCCGCAAU